CACAAAGAGCGCUGGCUACUUUCACCAAUCCCUUCAGACAAAAAGGAAAAAAAAGAGAGAGAAAAAAAAAAAAGCCCUGAUCCUUGUCUUUAUAUCAGUGAGGUUGGAGUUCUUGCUAAUAAAGGAGCUUUUCCCAUGAUGCAGUGUGAUAAGGAUUGGCCUACAUGUAGCCCAGCAAGCCACUGCUGAUGUUUUCUUGAUUAGGUGUCUUAUCUUCCAUUGAGCUGCAUCUGAUGAAGGUUGCUGACGGCGUAAUGGCAGGGAAAGCGUCGGACAGCUCCAUAAAAUGGCAGCUAUGCUAUGACAUGUCAGCCAGGACCUGGUGGAUGUUUCAGAAUUACACCAGAACCAUAGAAUCAUCAAGGUUGGAAAAGGCUUCCGAGAUCAUCCGGUAA
ensembl:lncRNA